GUGUCACUUCCUCUAGCUCCCUGUGGACAGAAUGAGACCCGAGAAGAUGGCAAGACAAUCCAGCUGCCCCCAUGUAAGACUGGAGCAUGGAUUGUGCCAGCCAUCAUGGCCUGCUACCUCCUGGUGGCAAACAUCCUUCUGGUCAACCUCCUUAUUGCUGUCUUCAACAAUACAUUUUUUGAGGUAAAGUCGAUAUCCAACCAAGUAUGGAAAUUUCAGAGGUACCAACUCAUCAUGACUUUCCACGAGAGGCCAGUUCUACCCCCACCACUCAUCAUCUUCAGCCACAUGACCAUGAUAUUCCAACAUGUGUGUUGCCGGUGGAGAAAGCACGAGAGUGACCCAGAUGAAAGAGACUACGGCCUGAAACUCUUCAUAACUGAUGAUGAGCUCAAGAAAGUACACGAUUUUGAAGAGCAGUGCAUAGAAGAGUAUUUCAGAGAGAAGGAUGAUCGCUUCAACUCAUCCAAUGAUGAGAGGAUACGGGUGACAUCAGAAAGGUGUGUUCCCUGACCCUGCCUCACACAGAUGCUU
rnacentral:lncRNA from 1 species